CGAGGCGCUGUCUACGAGUC
rnacentral:snRNA from 1 species